UGGAGGAGCUCAAGAGACAGAAUGCAGACCAACCAAAGGUGGCGUUCUCACUUGGUCUCAGUGACAACGGACUAAUUGGACCCUUCAAUACUGACAUCACACUUAAGUUCAGUAAAGUCAUCACCAACUUUGGUCAGGUCUACAGUCCAACUACAGGUCUCUUCACAGCCCCAGUCAGAGGAGCCUACUACUUCUCAUUCACUACACUGGAUGGCCGGAAUAAUGUACGGAGGGAAGUUCAUCUCUAUCACA